UGCACCGGCAAUGGGCAAAAAGACACCUUGUUGUUGGUGUUCUUAUAUCAGUGAGGGGCAGAGCAGAUGGCAGUCCUUUGUUUAUCCUAGCUUGAUGUCUGGCUUGGUGGCCAAAGCUGUCUUAUGCCUAGGACUCAUAA